CACAGCCACCUCGGCUAUAUGCGCGCUGGGCUCUGCCUUUUAGGCAGCGCACCGGCCACUCCCCAGAAGCAGAGCAUUCUGUCCUUUCUCUUUUUAAAUCCACGUCAUCAUCUGAUCAUAAUGGAAAUCAAUCUCAAGUCACCACGCAAAGGCGUAUCCAUGGCAACCUCAAGAGGAAGGACACAGAAAUGAUGCUCCAGUGGCUGCAGCAGGAAAAGGAACGCUGUAGCUUGCAAUAGGUUCAGGGGUGCCUCGGACGCUGCUAGGAAAGGAGGGGAACCCUGGCAGUUCUGGAGGAAUUCGGAGACGCAAUCACUCGACCCGGAGAGAACACCGCCAGACUGGGGAGCUCAGAAAGAAGGUCACGGGUUUGAUAAUUUCAGGGACACCAGACCCAGUUGCUGAGCCACCUGAUGCCAGCUUUGGCCAUGAAUUUGCAGAAGAAAAGAAGUGCAAGACCUUAAUUACUUUGAGCCUUUUCACCUACCCCAGACCACAAGCCCUGGGCCGUAAAACCCUUUCCCUAUUCCCCAGGGAAGGGGGUGAUAGUUCUUGAGGUGCUAGCCUGCUGUGUUCCCCCUUUUGCCUGACAAAGAAUAAAGCUACUUUUUCU